AGAGUUUGAUCCUGGCUCAGAAUCAACGCUGGCGGCGCGCUUAACACAUGCAAGUCGCACGAGAAAGGGGGCAACCCUGAGUAAAGUGGCGUACGGGUGAGUAACACGUGGAUCAUCUACCUUCUAGUGGGGAAUACCUCCGGGAAACUGGAGACAAUACCGCAUAAGCUCGUGAGAGGAAAGCAGCAAUGCGCUGGAAGAGGAGUCCGCGGCCGAUUAGCUAGAUGGCGGGGUAACGGCCCACCAUGGCGAGGAUCGGUAGCCGGCCUGAGAGGGCACACGGCCACACUGGCACUGAAACACGGGCCAGACUCCUACGGGAGGCAGCAGUGGGGAAUCUUGCACAAUGGAGGAAACUCUGAUGCAGCGACGCCGCGUGAGUGAUGAAGCCCUUCGGGGUGUAAAGCUCUUUCGACGGGAACGAUAAUGACGGUACCCGAAGAAGAAGCUGCGGCUAACUACGUGCCAGCAGCCGCGGUAAUACGUAGGCAGCAAGCGUUGUUCGGAAUUACUGGGCGUAAAGAGUGUGUAGGCGGCGCUCUAAGUUUGGUGUGAAAUCUCCCGGCUUAACUGGGUGGGUGCAUCGAAAACUGGAGUGCUCGAGUAUGGGAGAGGUAAGCGGAAUUCCUGGUGUAGCGGUGAAAUGCGUAGAUAUCAGGAGGAACACCUGGUGUAGACAGCUUACUGGACCAUCACUGACGCUGAGACACGAAAGCGUGGGUAGCAAACAGGAUUAGAUACCCCUGUAGUCC
rnacentral:rRNA from 1 species